rnacentral:lncRNA from 1 species
GCGGGAAAAGAUCUUAACCCGUGAUUGCUGGGACUGGCUCAAGCUCCACCAGGAGCCGUCGUUCUUUUACAAAGAGGGGUGGAGGUUCCAGUGGAGGCUGUUGUUGCCUUUUUUUUUUUUUUUUUAAUGAAUGGAGGGCGGCGGCGACUGCUGCAGCUGGGCCAGCUGCGCGGGCUGCACCCCCUCCCAGCCUGCGAGAGGAGGAAGCUAGUAGAAGAUUUGUACCAACAAAACCAAGGAGUAAACAACUUGAGAAUAACUGCAUGAGCUCAGGGCUUGGACUGUCAGAUUCCAUUUCUAAGCUUCCAGAAGAGCGACACAUAGACACUGGGGAAGUCAGAGCCUUUGAACUCCAAUGCCAUCCCCGUCACCCACCUCCACCACCAGCACCACCACCGAAUGGCACUUUGGACAAUUUUUCCCUCUCAUGUGACUUUUGUCAUUUCUUACGUCAGUUGGAGCCAGCACCUCUCAAAUCCAUCUUCUAAAACCCAGAAAAUUGUGUGUAACACAUGAUGACUGAAAGGGAGUAGGCUGACCAGUUAAGAGCCUGCCACUGGAAUGGAAGGCUGUGGGAAGGUGAGGGGACGGUGGACAUCAACCGGGAAGAGCUGAAAGAUGGCGUUACCAGAACAACUUCCAGUAAAAGAAGGCACUGAGGUUUAAGUGCUACGUGGGAGCAGUUGCCGAUUUUUGCAAUGGGAGGCUGCAUAGAUUCAAGGACUUCCUUGAGUGCUCCAGGAGCUUGUCAUUCCAGAGACAGAGCAGCCCAGAAGUCCUGGGAUUUACACCUCUAGUAGAAACCCUCAACCAGAGAAGGAUGGAAGUCAAUGGGCAGAGUGCUCGGGAGACCUUUACCUGUUUUACCUGAUUACAUCCUCUGAGUCACAACGAGAAAGGAAGCCGAGCAACAGCCAGACCUGAUCUUCUUUAAUUGUGCUCUGUGGACCAAAGGCAACAGAAUUACCUAGGCCCCACCCAGAAAAUGCAGAAUCCUGGGUCCCUUAUGAAGCCACCGAAUCAAAAUUGUGGGGAGCAACCAGGAACCUGAUUUUUAAACAAGUUCCCCUGUGAUUCUUAUGCACAUUAAAAUUUGAAAACCCCUGGACAAAGCCACAGUUCCUGGAGGAGCAGAGAUGAGUCAUGUCCAUGAGUAAUACCCCAUGUUGACACAGCCCUGGUGCAAGGUAGGCACGCCCCUCACACCUGUUCUCAUCACCAACAUUCCUUGGACAAGGUCAGGAGACGGUCUUGAGCAAUUUGGUAUAAAACAAAUCUCUGUAAGUCACAUUUUAAAUAUAAUAUUUAGAGGGAUUGCAUUGGCAAAUCAAAUUGUUUUCAUUAUUGUAAAUUGUACUGUGCUCAGAUACUUACCCAAUCUUGACUUCAAAUUUAGCUCAACAUGACCUCUGGCCUUAGGCUUGAGGAUUGUAAGGCCCCCUGGCCCAGCACGCUUGCUGUGCUUGGGGCUCUGUUGUUAGCACUCUGUUUAUUUUGUUCUUGGGCACCGUCCACUACCUGGUCAGAAAAACCUUAGCCCCACUGUUCCCCAGUGCCUGUGUUCAUGUCUUGCCCCAAAGACCCAAUCCCAGAGGCUAUGGGUCCUCAAGGUUGAGAUUCUACCUAUGGCCCAAGCUAAGGUCCUGCCAUCUCUUAGCAGAAUUUCCAAAUCCUGGCCUACUUUCUAGGGUCUUCCAAUAUCAUCUGGUGCUGAAUUCCUAUCACCAAGCUCCAUGUGCCUCUCAGGACACCUCUCAUAAUCCCCCCAAACCAUAUACAGCCUAUCAGUGAGGAGCACAGGCUCGCUGGACAGCCUAGGUAUGAAGCUUGGCUCUGCCACUUGGUGGCUGUGUGACCUUAGCCAAACACCCCACCCAACAAGCCUCAAUUCCUGCAUCUAUAACAGCCCCUACUAUUAUAUGCAGCGUUGUCAUGAGUAUUGAGUGAGGUGAUACACUUACAGCCAAGCACAGUGCUUGGGCACAGCAAGGGCUCAAUAAAUGUUGGGGACCGGUCCAAAAGCUGUUCCAUGUCUGAGUGCGCGUACAUGUGAACAAAGCUCCAUGCCAAAGCAAAUGUGUCUCCAAGCUACCCUAGCAGUGGCACCAGGGGUCACUUAUAGAGUGUCACUUUGGGCUUUGGAACAAAUGGACUUGUAAGCAGCCUUUUCUCCUCUAUUUUUUUUUUUUUUUUUGAGACAGAGUUUCACUUUUGUCACCCAGGCUGGAGCGCAAUGGCGCGAUCUCGGCUCGCUGCAAACUCUGCCUCCCAGGUUCAAGUGAUUCUCCUGCCUCAGCCUCCCAAGUAGAUGGGAUUACUGGUGUGUGCCAUUAUGCCAGGUAAUUUUGUAUUUUUAGUAGACAUGGGGUUUCACCGUGUUGGCCAGGCUGGUCUUGAACUCCUGACCUCAGGUGAUCCACCCGCCUUGGCCUCCCAAAGUGCUGGGAUUACAGGCAUGAGCCAUCGCACCUGGCCAAAGCAGCCUUUUUAGAAUUCACCUUUGAAUAAUAAUAAUAAUAAUAGCAAAUACAUGGUACUCACUAUGAGCUAGACCCUGUGCUGAUAAGGGCAUUACUCAUUUGAUUCCUUCCAUAACAAGGCUGGUACUUUAUUACCCCCACUUUACAG